UUUUCAGUAUAAGUAUGUCCCAUGAAUAUUCGGGGUAUACUUAUACUAUAA
rnacentral:pre_miRNA from 1 species